AGGCUCGUAGCACAAUUGGCAGUGCGUCGGUCUCCAAAACCGAAGGUUGGGGGUUCGAGUCCCUCCGGGCCUG
rnacentral:tRNA from 1 species